rnacentral:rRNA from 1 species
GAUGAACGCUAGCGACAGGCUUAACACAUGCAAGUCGAGGGGCAGCGGGGUAGUGCUUGCACUACUGCCGGCGACCGGCGCACGGGUGAGUAACACGUAUGGAACCUGCCCGCAGCAGGGGGAUAAGCGGAAGAAAUUCCGUCUAAUACCGCGUAACAACGUUGGGAGGCAUCUCCCGAUGUUUAAAGAUUUAUCGGCUGCGGAUGGCCAUGCGGCGCAUUAGCUAGUCGGCGGGGUAACGGCCCACCGAGGCGACGAUGCGUAGGGGUUCUGAGAGGAAGGUCCCCCACACUGGGACUGAGACACGGCCCAA